AGUGAACGCUGGCGGUAGGCCUAACACAUGCAAGUCGAACGGCAGCACAGUAAGAGCUUGCUCUUACGGGUGGCGAGUGGCGGACGGGUGAGGAAUACAUCGGAAUCUACUUUUUCGUGGGGGAUAACGUAGGGAAACUUACGCUAAUACCGCAUACGACCUACGGGUGAAAGCAGGGGAUCUUCGGACCUUGCGCGAUUGAAUGAGCCGAUGUCGGAUUAGCUAGUUGGCGGGGUAAAGGCCCACCAAGGCGACGAUCCGUAGCUGGUCUGAGAGGAUGAUCGGCCACACUGGAACUGAGACACGGUCCAGACUCCUACGGGAGGCAGCAGUGGGGAAUAUUGGACAAUGGGCGCAAGCCUGAUCCAGCCAUACCGCGUGGUGAAGAAGGCCUUCGGGUUGUAAAGCCCUUUUGUUGGGAAAGAAAAGCAGCAGGUUAAUACCCCGCUGUUCUGACGGUACCCAAAGAAUAAGCACCGGCUAACUUCGUG
rnacentral:rRNA from 1 species